rnacentral:tRNA from 1 species
GGCUGUAGCUCAGUGGCAGAGCGCUUGCCUAGCAUGUGUGAGGCACUGGGUUCCAUCCUCAGCACCA